rnacentral:rRNA from 1 species
GAUGAACGCUGGCGGCGUGCCUAACACAUGCAAGUCGAGCGUGAUUUAUGAGGACGAAACUUCGGUCUGGGAAUCAUAAUGAAAGCGGCGGACGGGUGAGUAACGCGUAGGCAACCUGCCCUUGACACAGGGAUAGCCUCGGGAAACCGGGAUUAAAACCUGAUGACGCCAAACAGUCACAUGGCUGUUUGGCCAAAGAUUUAUCGGUCAAGGAUGGGCCUGCGUCUGAUUAGUCUGUUGGUGGGGUAACGGCCUACCAAGACGACGAUCAGUAGCCGACCUGAGAGGGUGAUCGGCCACAUUGGAACUGAGACACGGUCCAAACUCCUACGGGAGGCAGCAGUGGGGAAUAUUGCACAAUGGGCGAAAGCCUGAUGCAGCAACGCCGCGUGAGCGAUGAAGGCCUUUGGGUCGUAAAGCUCUGUCCUUGGGGAAGAAACAAAUGACGGUACCCAAGGAGGAAGCCCCGGCUAACUACGUGCCAGCCGCCGCAGUAACAC